rnacentral:rRNA from 1 species
AGGUUAAGUGAAUAAGGGCGCACGGAGGAUGCCUUGGCACUAGGAGUCGAAGAAGGACGCGACAAACGGCGAAACGCCUCGGGGAGCUGUAAGUGAGCUUUGAUCCGGGGAUAUCCGAAUGGGGAAACCCGCUAGUGGUUAUACGCUAGCACCAUAUGGUGAAUACAUAGCCAUAUAGGAGACAGACCCAGGGAACUGAAACAUCUAAGUACCUGGAGGAAAAGAAAGAAAAAUCGAUUCCCGUAGUAGCGGCGAGCGAAGUGGGAAGAGCCCAAACCGGCACUAGCCGGGGUUGUAGGACCUUCAUAAUUGACAAAUCAUGAUAGCCGAGUGGUCUGGGAAGGCCAACCGGAGAGGGUGAGAGUCCCGUAGGUGAAAUUGUGAAAUGCAUGGAAGGAAUCCUGAGUACGGCGGGACACGUGGAAUCCCGUCGGAAUCAACGAGGACCAUCUCGUAAGGCUAAAUACUACCUAGUGACCGAUAGUGAACCAGUACCGUGAGGGAAAGGUGAAAAGAACCCCGGAAGGGGAGUGAAAGAGAACCUGAAACCGUGUGCCUACAAAUAGUCAGAGCCCGUUAAUGGGUGAUGGCGUGCCUUUUGUAGAAUGAACCGGCGAGUUACGAUAUCGUGCGAGGUUAAGCAGAAGAUGCGGAGCCGUAGCGAAAGCGAGUCUGAAUAGGGCGAAGAGUACGAUGUUGUAGACCCGAAACCGUGUGAGCUAGCCAUGAGCAGGCUGAAGGUCAGGUAACACUGACUGGAGGGCCGAACCAGGGCACGUUGAAAAGUGCUUGGAUGACUUGUGGCUAGGGGUGAAAUUCCAAUCGAACACGGAUAUAGCUGGUUCUCUCCGAAAUAGCUUUAGGGCUAGCCUCGAUGGCAAGUCUACUGGAGGUAGAGCACUGAAUGGGUGAUGGCCCCACCUCGGGGUACUGAUCUCAAUCAAACUCCGAAUGCCAGAUAGAUAUCAUCGGGAGUCAGACUGUGGGUGAUAAGGUCCAUGGUCAAAAGGGAAAGAGCCCAGACCGCCAGCUAAGGCCCCCAAGUGUCCGUUAAGUGGAAAAGGAUGUGGAGAUGCACAGACAACUAGGAGGUUGGCUUAGAAGCAGCCAUCCUUUAAAGAGUGCGUAAUAGCUCACUAGUCGAGUGACUCUGCGCCGAAAAUGUACCGGGGCUAAACGGACCGCCGAAGCUGCGGAUUGACACUUAGGUGUCAGUGGUAGGAGAGCGUUCUAACAGCGGAGAAGCAGUACCGGAAGGAGCUGUGGAGCGGUUAGAAGUGAGAAUGCCGGUGUGAGUAGCGAAAGAUAGGUGAGAAUCCUAUCCAUCGAAAGCCUAAGGUUUCCAGGGGAAGGCUCGUCCGCCCUGGGUAAGUCGGGACCUAAGGUGAGGCCGAAAGGCGUAGCCGAUGGACAACAGGUUGAUAUUCCUGUACCACUUAUUAAACUGAUGGAGUGACGGAGAAGGCUAAGUUGAGCGUGUUAAUGGAUUCACGUGUAAGCAGUGAGGUGGUCAUGUAGGCAAAUCCGCAUGGCAUAACAUUGAGCUGUGAUGCCGAAGCCGUAUGGCGAAGUCAACUGAUGUCACGCUUCCAAGAAAAGCUUCUAGGGUUAAUUUAGUAAGUGCCCGUACCGAUAACCGACACAGGUAGGCGAGGAGAGAAUCCUAAGAUGAGCGAGAGAACUCUUGUUAAGGAACUCGGCAAAAUGACCCCGUAACUUCGGGAGAAGGGGUGCUUGUGAAAGCAAGCCGCAGUGAAUAGGCCCAGGCGACUGUUUAUCAAAAACACAGGUCUCUGCUAAACCGCAAGGUGAUGUAUAGGGGCUGACGCCUGCCCGGUGCUGGAAGGUUAAGAGGAGAGGUUAGCGCAAGCGAAGCUUUGAAUUGAAGCCCCAGUAAACGGCGGCCGUAA